GAAUAUUGGACAAUGGGGGGAACCCUAACCCACCCAUGCCGCGUGUGGAAAGAAGGCCUUUUGGUUGUAACGACCUUAAAGCGGGGGGGAGGUUACUCAAGUUAUUACUUAGAGUACGUGGACGUUACUCGCAGAUAAACACCGGCCUAACUCUGUACCACACGCCGCGGUAAUACAGAGGGUGCAAGCGUUAAUCGGAUUUACUGGGCGUAAAGCGCGCGUAGGUGGCCAAUUAAGUCAAAUGUGAAAUCCCCGAGCUUAACUUGGGAAUUGCAUUCGAUACUGGUUGGCUAGAGUAUGGGAGAGGAUGGUAGAAUUCCAGGUGUAGCGGUGAAAUGCGUAGAGAUCUGGAGGAAUACCGAUGGCGAAGGCAGCCAUCUGGCCUAAUACUGACACUGAGGUGCGAAAGCAUGGGGAGCAAACAG
rnacentral:rRNA from 1 species